CCUUACCAUCCAUUUUACUAGUUCUUCUACCCUCAGAUUUUAAACCAACACCCGUAGUGAGGACCUGAACUGAAGACGCGAACUGAAGGUUGAUGGAGGAGAGUUCAACGGUGAAGCGAACUGAAGGAUUAACGGAAGAGAAUGGACGAAACAGCGACUGGACUAUUGAUGAGAUUCGAAGAAACGACGAGAUGGAAGGGAAUCGUUGACGGCGAACAAAAGGGAAUUGAGGACGGGAUGAAAUCGUUGACAAUGAGCAGAUUGAAGCAAAUUAGGGAUUUAGCGAUUUGGGAAUGAAAAUUGGGAAGAAAUUAGGGACGAUUUGGGAUUUGGGAAGAAAUUUGGCGAUUUAGGGAUUUGGCGAUUUGGGAAGAAAUUGGGACGAUGGCGUACGUUCUCGCGUUUGGGAUGGGAAUGAAGAAUGAGAAUGAACAAAUUAAUUAAUUAAUGAACACUAAUAGGGAUUCCACUACGG
rnacentral:lncRNA from 1 species